UUGAGUAUUUGACGAUUUCAGAUGAUGACGUUAGUUUUUACCUAAAAUUUGAUAAUGCUUGACUUUGUCAAUAAAGUGUUUCUUUUUUCUGCUGUCUCUCUGUUGUGCUUGUGCCUAUUUCCUGCAAUCGCUACUUCCUGUUCCUGCUAUGUACUGCAUUCGCCAGACUAAUUUAUUUACGAUCGAAAAAUUUACGGAAUCCGGAGAAUGGUUUUCUGGCAUCAUGUUCCUCCUGGAACAUUGAGGCGGCAGAUCAGUGUAAUAUCCACACAUAUUUACUGGGUGGUUUAAACCAGCUGGCCAUUCAAGCAUGCACAUCUAGCUGUGACCACAAAAAAACUAAGGCCUUGGAAAGUUUCCCACCCACAAAACUUUGAGAUUGCAUCAGGAUUCGAACCCAAUAAGAUAACACUGAAUCAACAAUUUGAUGUCAAAAUAUUCGGCUCUCGGACGCAUCCCUUUAUCUUCGGCUGCCCACCACGCUCGCCAAGUUUUUUUGAAUAUUGUCUGCCCACUUAGAUCGCUGCAGUUCCCUUUGUACCUCCCGGAUCUGAUGCGAACACCAUCUAUUCAAGAUUGCUGCGUACAAAAUUCUUGCAACAUUCCCUGCGAGCUCGUCGUUUCAUCGCUACACAUCGUUCCCGAAUAAUACGAGUGCUUAUCAUUCUUCAAUCUUCUAAAAGAUUCUAUCCGUGAAGGACUACAGAGUUUUUUGCUAUAUGGUACAUUAAUUUGAUGUUUGUGAAUCUCCUUUGCCCACAGUUGUGGAGCGCGAAUAAGUUCCGAAGUAUG